ACACGGGGGGCGCGAGCGUUAUUCGGAAUUAUUGGGCGUAAAGGGCGUGUAGGCGGUUUUAUCGGUCAGAUGUGAAAGCCCAGGGCUCAACCCUGGACGUGCAUUUGAAACAGUAAGACUUGAGUACGGUAGAGGAAAGCGGAAUUCCUGGUGUAGAGGUGAAAUUCGUAGAUAUCAGGAGGAACACCGAUGGCGAAGGCAGCUUUCUGGACCGAAACUGACGCUGAUGCGCGAAGGCGUGGGUAGCGAACAGGAUUAGAAACCCGGGUAGUCC
rnacentral:rRNA from 1 species